rnacentral:lncRNA from 1 species
CCGAUCAAACCGUAUGCAGAGGAGGAAAAAGAGAGGAAAAAAAAAAUUGCUAGAGCUAAUUCAAUGGGAGGAUCUCUUAUUCUUAAAUCAAAUAAAGCUUUGGAGAAUGAUAAAAUAGAAAGAAGAGUUGCAAAAUAACAUAAGAAAUAUGCCCAGUAACUCGAAGCCCCAUUUAAUGCAUGUGAAGUCCUUAUUCCAUUAGAGUCAUACUCUUCAUACCUAAGUGAUGAAUUAUUUAUAAACUUUCUUUAUCUACAUUAGUCUAGAAAUAUGAGUCCAACUUAAACUAAUCUCCAACUAUACUAUGUGUUAGCCCA